CGCCUUGCCAGCAGCCGCGGUGAUACGGAGGGUGCGAGCGUUAAUCGGAAUAACUGGGCGUAAAGGGCACGCAGGCGGUGACUUAAGUGAGGUGUGAAAGCCCCGGGCUUAACCUGGGAAUUGCAUUUCAUACUGGGUCGCUAGAGUACUUUAGGGAGGGGUAGAAUUCCACGUGUAGCGGUGAAAUGCGUAGAGAUGUGGAGGAAUACCGAAGGCGAAGGCAGCCCCUUGGGAAUGUACUGACGCUCAUGUGCGAAAGCGUGGGGAGCAAACAGGAUUAGAUACCCUGGUAGUCCACGCUGUAAACGAUGUCGAUUUGGGGGUUGAGGCGCCCGUAGCUAACGUGAUAAAUCGACCGCCUGGGGAGUACGGCCGCAAGGUUAAAACUCAAAUGAAUUGACGGGGGCCCGCACAAGCGGUGGAGCAUGUGGUUUAAUUCGAUGCAACGCGAAGAACCUUACCUACUCUUGACAUCCAGGUGCUGCAUGGCUGUCGUCAGCUCGUGUUGUGAAAUGUUGGGUUAAGUCCCGCAACGAGCGCAACCCUUAUCCUUUGUUGC
rnacentral:rRNA from 1 species